rnacentral:rRNA from 1 species
UACAGAGGGUACAAACGUUGUUCGGAAUCACUGGGCUUAAAGCGCACGUAGGUGGUUCGGCAAGUGCGAUGUGAAAGCCCCCGGCCCAACCGGGGAACUGCAUCGCAGACUGCCGGGCUUGAGAGCGGUAGGGGAGACUAGAACUCCUGGUGGAGCGGUGAAAUGCGUAGAUAUCAGGAGGAAUACCGGUGGCGAAGGCGAGUCUCUGGUCCGCUUCUGACACUUAGGUGCGAAAGCUAGGGGAGCAAACGGG